CAAGAACAAGGGAUUAUUCAAUUUCAAGUUAUAAUAUUAAAAAUAUUGGUUAUGAGAAGCAACAAGAAAUCAGCAAAGGUGAAGGCAGCAAAUUUAUGUAUCACUUUCAUGGAUUGUGGUCUUUCACAGCUGAAGGACAGAAAUCAGUGAAGAGGGAUUGCAUUCUUACCCAAAUACUCCUUCGUGAUUGCCUGUUUUGCGGCUUUGGGGUGUCUUCUGCCGCCACCAUGCCGCCACCAGCGUGUGAGAUACUCAGAGACCGUCUCAGAGAGCAAGAUUCUUCAGGGAGUGGAUAACAUUCACAUGGAUGACAUCCCAGUUUUCUCAUCAUCAUUACAAGGAAAUGAAGACCACAAACUUCUACCUUCAAACUGGAGAUAGCAAUCUUAUCAAACAAAUACCGACAGCAGAGCACCUGUAAAGGUUCUGGAUGCUGCUUCAGGUUGGCUGGCUUCCUUCUAAAUCAUCUUGGUC